GACGACCGCUGGCGGCGUGCUUAACACAUGCAAGUCGAACGGAAAGGCCCUGCUUUUGUGGGGUGCUCGAGUGGCGAACGGGUGAGUAACACGUGAGUAACCUGCCCUUGACUUUGGGAUAACUUCAGGAAACUGGGGCUAAUACCGGAUAGGAGCUCCUGCUGCAUGGUGGGGGUUGGAAAGUUUCGGCGGUUGGGGAUGGACUCGCGGCUUAUCAGCUUGUUGGUGGGGUAGUGGCUUACCAAGGCUUUGACGGGUAGCCGGCCUGAGAGGGUGACCGGCCACAUUGGGACUGAGAUACGGCCCAGACUCCUACGGGAGGCAGCAGUGGGGAAUAUUGCACAAUGGGCGGAAGCCUGAUGCAGCAACGCCGCGUGCGGGAUGACGGCCUUCGGGUUGUAAACCGCUUUCGCCUGUGACGAAGCGUGAGUGACGGUAAUGGGUAAAGAAGCACCGGCUAACUACGUG
rnacentral:rRNA from 1 species